rnacentral:rRNA from 1 species
CUACGGGAUGCACCAGUGGGGAAUAUUGCACAAUGGAGGAAACUCUGAUGCAGCCAUGCCGCGUGUGUGAAGAAGGCCCGAGGGUUGUAAAGCACUUUCAAUUGGGAGGAAGGUAGUGUAGUUAAUACCUGCAUUAUUUGACGUUACCUUUAGAAGAAGCACCGGCUAACUCUGUGCCAGCAGCCGCGGUAAUACAGAGGGUGCAAGCGUUAUUCGGAAUUACUGGGCGUAAAGCGCGCGUAGGCGGACUGUUAAGUCGGUUGUGAAAGCCCUGGGCUCAACCUGGGAACUGCAUCCGAUACUGGCAAUCUAGAGUUUAAGAGAGGAAAGUGGAAUUCCUAGUGUAGCAGUGAAAUGCGUAGAUAUUAGGAGGAACAUCAGUGGCGAAGGCGACUUUCUGGCUUAAAACUGACGCUGAGGUGCGAAAGCGUGGGUAGCGAACGGGAUUAGAUACCCUGGUAGUC